AGUCUCCCAGUCCCUGCUGCUGAAAAGCAUCCCCGUAGCAUGAUGCUACCACCACCAUGCAUCAUGGUAGGGAUGGUGUUAGACAGGUGAUGAGCUGUGCCUUUCUCCAAACAUAGCGAUUUGCAUUCAGCGGGUUUCUUAGGUACCACAGGAGAACCAAGAAAUGAAGAGCGACACCACGGCUGUCUUUUAGGCUUUUAUGUUGAUCUGCAAAAGUAUUGUGAAAAGACAGGGCAGGAACACAUCAGUCUCCAAUGCACCAUCUGACAAGUUGUUCUAUGCAGGAGCAUGAAGAAAGACUGAGGAGAACCGGAGCUACGGGAAGAUCC